GCCCCAGUAGCUCAGUGGAUAGAGCAGCCGCCUCCUAAGCGAAAGGUCAUAGGUUCGACUCCUAUCUGGGGCA
rnacentral:tRNA from 1 species